UGACAGUUAAACUGUCAUCAGGGAGCUCAGGGAGAGAGAGUGAGGGCAAUUGCAGGACAGCUCACCAGGAUGUCAGUCUGAAGGAGAAUGCUUGCAGCGCCUGUACCCUGGCAACUCGGUCUUGAGUCGGGCUCUCCAAACAACAGAACAACUGCUGUUCUGAGCGAUAUCAACUGGUCCUGCAGAAGCCCAUGACAGUUCUAAUGAUGCCUGGGCUUGGGAUGGAAAGAGCUGAGCCUUUCAUGCUACAAAGCAAAUCUGACAGAUCAAGAGGAGGAUCUUGGCCUACUGGCACUGUGACUUGCGGUUUAUUAUUCUUAUUAUCAUCAUUCUGCUCAUAGAUAAUGUUAUAAUUUACAGUCAGGCAUUGUGCAGCCCGAGUGAUUGAUGUCACACGGGCAUGAAUAACUAUUUCGGUAGGUUUAAUAAUGGCUCUUCAGUGAAACGCAGCAUGGGGGAAGCUCCCUCAUAAAAGUGCCCUUUGAUUCCUUCUUCAAGAUGAUAAACUGAGGUUCCCGAAACCUGUAGCAAAGGGGCCACAAUCCAGCACAGACUGCAGUGGGAUUAAGACUGUAAUCCUAGGGAGACUGAUUUGGGAGUAAGUGCCAUUGAACUCAGUGUUUCUCUAGGAUCCUGAAAGAGCAGGGUUUAGGAGAUUUGGGCGUGACCCAGCAUAAAGUAGAAAGGAUGUUUUCAUCUUUCAGAAGGAUGACAACUGAAUCAUCUCUGAGCUUAAGCAAGUUUUAUCCCAAAGGUCAUUUUGUCAUCAACAGACCCAUCAAUUUAAAAGAAUGUCAAUUAAUGAAUUAGACACAGCAGUGAA